GACUGUUCUCCGUGCCAGACGGAUUCUUCUUUCGAGAUUGCUUCUUUGCCAAUUCUGACAGGCAAUGUUAAUUAUUUCCCACCGGAGUGCAAAUUGUUCGUCUGUUCUUGGUAUUCAAUCACUCUUCACCCUGAUCAUCUGAAAGCCGAGGCUAUUCGUAUCGACAGGUUCAUAGUGGAUUGAAUAGGGGCAGCUGUAACACCUCAAAAUUUGCCCUCCUCUCUUGGGACUAGCUUAGCAUAUUGCAUUUCAUUUUUUAGGACAUUAGGCAUUACAUCU
rnacentral:lncRNA from 1 species